rnacentral:rRNA from 1 species
AACGCUGGCGGCGUGCCUAAUACAUGCAAGUCGAACGGCUUUUCUAUGGAAGCUUGCUUCCACUGAGAAGAUAGUGGCGAACGGGUGAGUAACACGUGGGUAACCUGCCCAUAAGAGGGGGGAUAACAUCCGGAAACGGGUGCUAAUACCGCAUAGUUUUCUUGAUCGCAUGAUCGGGAAAGGAGAGACGGCCUUUGUGCUGUCGCUUAUGGAUGGACCCGCGGCGUAUUAGUUAGUUGGUGAGGUAACGGCUCACCAAGACGAUGAUACGUAGCCGACCUGAGAGGGUGAUCGGCCACAUUGGGACUGAGACACGGCCCAAACUCCUACGGGAGGCAGCAGUAGGGAAUCUUCCGCAAUGGACGAAAGUCUGACGGAGCAACGCCGCGUGAGUGAAGAAAGGUUUUCGGAUCGUAAAACUCUGUUGUCAGAGAAGAACAAGUUGGAGAGUAACUGCUCCAGCCUUGACGGUAUCUGACCAGAAAGCCACGGCUAACUACGUGCCAGCCGCUGC